AACCUAUGUUGAGGGCAUUUCCACAUGAGCUCCUUGAACCUAUCCCAUGUCUGAAAAAGAGACUCCAAUUCUGUUUGCACAAAAAAGGAUAUUUUAUUCCUGAGCUU